rfam:Triticum aestivum genome assembly, contig: Triticum_aestivum_CS42_TGACv1_scaffold_526491_6DL
AUAGUACUCCCUCCGUCCGGAAAUACUCGUCGGAGAAAUGGAUGUAUCUAGAUGUAUUUUAGUUCUAGAUACAUUCAUUUUUAUGCAUUUCUUCGACGAGUUUCGACGAGUAUUUCCGGACGGAGGGAGUACUCG